CGCGUGACUCCCGCGCCAGGGCCAAGGCGGGGCUCGAACCCGUGUGUCGAAUGACUGCAAGUCCCAGCGCCCGCCAGGAAGCCCACUGCCUUCCUUUGGAGUGGCCUGGCGGGGAGAGGGGAGUGGGAGACGGAGAAGAGGCCGAGCGCGCCCACGGGGUCGGACAGGAGAAGAGGGGCUCAUGGCCUUGGUCCCCAGGCACGCGGUGCCACCUCCGAGGAGGCCGAGGCAGGGUCUCAGCUUGGACUGGGGCCUGCGCCUCGGGUUCUCUCAGCUCCUGGAGUCCUAAGGAAGGACAAUCAUCAUGAGCUACAAAUGCUCUCUCAUUCUUCUCGGCGGCCCCUUCUAAGUAGCAGGAGCGGAGAAGUCGGGGCUGAUUAGUUAACUUCGGCCCACGAAACCCCACUCCAAGCCCUCGGGGUGCUCGGUUCCCUCGACGUAAUUCAGACGGAGAAGCUGGGGCGCCUUUGGAGGAGUUGAUGGAGAAAUACUCUUCAUAGUGUCAGGGGUCAAAUAUGAAUUAACACAGCCUUGAUGAAAGCUGUGUUCUAAAUCUUUCCGAGAAAAUGGCUUCUUCAGAUGAUGGAUGGAGAGAAACUGGUCCUCUAUCUUUUCGACUUCCGCUUAACUUCCCUGAAUGUGCUUUUGUUGUGUUUGACACCGGAAGACACUGCUCUGUGGUUAGCAUUUUUCAUAGUUCCUUUUAAGUUUUUGUAUAGUAACUAUUCCACAAAUACUCGUUUUAAUACCAUUGCAUCUGAAAAGUAAUUUAAUUUAGUUUCUAUUUGCCCACAAUCAACCUGACUUAGAAUUUAACCCAUUAUUUAAAAAGUGACAAAUUGAAAAUUUCAAAAUAUUGCACUGUAUUCGGUAUUCAUGUAACAGUUAAUAUCUGUACCACAGCUUUUACCAUAUACAUUCUAACUUACUUGCCCAUCCAUUUCCCUGCUAGAGAACAGGGAUGGCUAAUAUUUCAGGGUAUGUGUAUGAUUCCUUUUUCUGUUGCUAGAGAAAUGAUUCCACACAUGGUAUGUUUUUAGGAAAAGGGAUUUAUUUUGGCUCAUGGUUCUAGAAGUCCAAGGUCGAGAGGCCACAUCUUCUUUCUGGCAAUGUCCAGAGUGGUAUGGGAAUCACAUGGCAAGAGACAAGGAACACUCAUGUUUCUGGUCUCUCCCUGGGGGCUCCGUUCUAAGGACCUUGUCUGACCCUGAUCACCAACCCAACCCCACCUCCAAACUCCAUGGUCAGAUUAAGUUUCCGGACCCUUCACAUCUCGGAUGGGGACUGAAUGUCAACCCAGGAACCCUUCGGGAGCACGCUCAAUCCAGAUCCAAACCACAGUAGUAUCUCAGCACCCAUCGCAGUGUUUGGACCCUGCCAAGUGCUCUGUCAAGAUGACAUAAUGAAUCAACAUGGGGAGAAAAGUAUGUCUGGCCCUGGGUAUUGGGAAGAGGCCUUUGCCUGGGAGGCCUGGAGGGUGGCUGGGUUUAUCCUGUAGAUCUUGGUCUUCUUCCUCACUCAGGGAAGACUGGAACAGAGAACUGUCAGGCGGCAAUGCCUGCUCUGUGAAGGCACAAAACGGGGCUUGGUUCUUGUCCUGGACUCCAUGAAACGUCCCUGGCCUGGAGAUGAGGAAAGAUUCUCUGGGUGGGCUCCACAGGGCUUCUGAGGUCCCUGAUCAUUACAUUCAAAACUGAGUGAACACGUGUAUUUUUUUAGAAGAGGAUUCAUAAUGUGGUGAUCAAUUCUAUGGCAACUCAACUAGGC
ensembl:lncRNA